UACGUAGGGUGCGAGCGUUUGUCCGGAAUUAUUGGGCGUAAAGAGCUCGUAGGCGGCUUGUCGCGUCGGAUGUGAAAGCCCGGGGCUUAACCCCGGGUCUGCAUUCGAUACGGGCUGGCUGGAGUUCGGUAGGGGAGAUCGGAAUUCCUGGAUUGUAGCGGUGGAAAUGACGCAGAUAUCAGGAGGAACACCGGUGGCGAAGGCGGAUCUCUGGGCCGAUACUGACGCUGAGGAGCGAAAGCGUGGGGGAGCGAACAGG
rnacentral:rRNA from 1 species